rnacentral:rRNA from 1 species
CCUACGGGAGGCAGCAGUGGGGGAUAUUGCACAAUGGGGGGAACCCUGAUGCAGCGACGCCGCGUGGGUGAAGGAGCGUUUCGGCGCGUAAAGCCCUAUCGGCAGGGAAGAAGGAGGACGGUACCUGACUAAGAAGCCCCGGCUAACUACGGGCCAGCAGCCGCGGUAAUACGUCGGGGGCAAGCGUUAUCCGGAUUUACUGGGUGUAAAGGGGGCGCUGACGGGAGCGAAAGUCAGGAGUGAAAGCCCGGGGCCCAACCCCGGGACUGCUCUUGGAACUGCGCGGCUGGAGUGCAGGAGGGGCAGGCGGAAUUCCUGGUGUAGCGGUGAAAUGCGUAGAGAUCAGGAGGAACACCGGUGGCGAAGGCGGGCGGCUGGACUGCGACUGACGUUGAGGCCCGAAAGCGUGGGGAGCAAACAGGAUUAGAUACCCUAGUAGUC